rnacentral:rRNA from 1 species
GUGGGGAAUUUUGGACAAUGGGGGAAACCCUGAUCUAGCCAUGCCGCGUGAGCGAUGAAGGCCUUAGGGUUGUAAAGCUCUUUCAGCUGGGAAGAUAAUGACGGUACCAGCAGAAGAAGCCCCGGCUAACUCCGUGCCAGCAGCCGCGGUAAUACGGAGGGGGCUAGCGUUGUUCGGAAUUACUGGGCGUAAAGCGCGCGUAGGCGGACCAGAAAGUUGGAGGUGAAAUCCCAGGGCUCAACCUUGGAACUGCCUUCAAAACUCCUGGUCUGGAGUUCGAGAGAGGUGAGUGGAAUCCCGAGUGUAGAGGUGAAAUUCGUAGAUAUUCGGAGGAACACCAGUGGCGAAGGCGGCUCACUGGCUCGAUACUGACGCUGAGGUGCGAAAGCGUGGGGAGCAAACAGGAUUAGAAACCCGAGUAGUCC